rnacentral:rRNA from 1 species
GACGUAGGGUGCGAGCGUUGUCCGGAUUUAUUGGGCGUAAAGAGCUCGUAGGCGGCUUGUCGCGUCGACCGUGAAAACUUGGGGCUCAACCCCAAGCCUGCGGUCGAUACGGGCAGGCUAGAGUUCGGUAGGGGAGAGUGGAAUUCCUGGUGUAGCGGUGAAAUGCGCAGAUAUCAGGAGGAACACCGGUGGCGAAGGCGGGUCUCUGGGCAUUAACUGACGCUGAGGAGCGAAAGCAUGGGGAGCGAACAGG